CUCAUUCUCAACCCCAAACAUCUAACACCACAUUCGCACAACCCACUCCUACAUACAACCCUGAUGAUGUCUAUUAUCCUCCUAUCCAACACACCUAAUCCAGCACUACACACAACUCACACGUUCACUAUCCAACUUUGACCUCCCUGAUGAGCAUCUAAUGAAUAUCCUUUCUUUUCGCAUUCAAGAUCUCGACAGUAUGGAUAUGCCUUCAAAUACAUCACAACAACAUCAAAGUCAACAACAUCAACAACAAGACGCCCAUGAUGAAUUGUCUUCCGACUCAUCUCCGUCUCCAAAUCGAGAAAAGGCGAGAACCUGCGGUUCGGUGGCCAACUCAAAAAUCGAAGAUGGCGAUAACUUUGAUUGUCUUCUGCUGGUUUUGUUUACUACCAUUAUUACUUCAGAUUCAACGGCACCAUGUGGGGUAUGUUUAGAAGAAGAAAAAAAAACAGGAGAAAACAAUGUGAAGAUGCACAGUACGUGUUCGAUAGAAGGUCUCGUGGUAUGUGAAGUGGAGAACGUAAACUCUGUGAUACGCACACGCAAUUCAUCUUGCUGCGAUGCAACCAACCGAAAAAGAGACUAGUGAAAACCACGUGAUCGAGACCCAAGCUAUUCCAAAGCGCAAGAGGGUCCCAACUUUGUCAUCAUUAGGAGUUGCAGCUUCGGUUAUGCUCUGCUUUGAAUAGAUUUCUGCGUAUGUCCGAUACACGGAACCCGUGAAGAAGAAAAACAGAGGAAAAAUGCUAGUAGCUUGGUUCGAUGUACUUACCGUAUGUAUGCCUCUUUCACCGGUAUGCAUUUCUGCUCUUCUACGCACUUCCUCUACACACUCUUUGAAUUGUUCUUGCUUCGUCUUCUUCAGUUCUUCUGGAUAUUUGGAAACGGACUUUCUGUUGACUGAAUUGAAGCAGAAAGGAUCUAUUCUGUUCUUGCAGAGCCAAAACGAAGCAGGUUGAAGACUGGAACUUUUGAGGACGGAGAUUUGGAUAUCAGAAGGUUAAGGGAUGGAUCUUCCAAGAGCGAAAGAAAACUGAAGCCUCAAACUUUGGAGUUUGAAACUAAAGAAAUGAACUUUUUGCUCAGAAGGUUCAAGAAAGGAUCCUGCAAAAGUGAGAAAACCAAACCGGAGAAUGAACUUCAGGUAAGCUUUUAUAACACUUUUUCUCCCCCAAAAUCAGUUAGAGAUUCCAUCAAAAUUUCAAUGAAAUUCACUCUUAAAUUUUCUUGAAAUUCACAAAUAGUUAGGAGUGAGUUAUUGUGAGAUUCUGUUGUGAAACUCAACUGAAAUUCUCACCACAUUCACUUAUGAUUGAAGUGCACCAAGGAGUUAGUUGGUUCUCUUAGGAUUCAGGUUGAAAAUGACAAUUAAGUCCAAUUCCAAUUGCCUUGAAGUGUGAAAUUCUGUUAAUCAUCAUGUUCGAAUCUGUUAGAAGUUAGUUGAAGUCGUUAGGAUCGGUUAGCUAGUUAGGUUGUUACAGCUGGAAAUUCUGUUAUGAUCUACAAAUAGAAGUUAGUUAGAGUUAGUUCUAUUAGCAUGUGAAGCAAACAAACUAAUUGGCUGCAAGUUGCUUGAGAAAGUUGUGCUGCUCUUUAUCUAUUAUGCUUGGUGUUUGAUAGUUAAUAGGUUCAUAGGAAAAGAAAAUCUGUUCAUGCAGUUGUUUCUUAGUUAAUUUAAGUAUGAAUCUAAAUGGAAUCCAAAUGUAAUAAAAUUCCGAUUCCGUUUUGUACAUAUGCAUGUUCACCUGGCUUUUACUGUGGCGUUUCACAAUGGAGGACUAUCACGGAGCUGUUCCGAAACUGCAGGUUCAAAUGAAGUUUAACCAAGUGUUCGUUGUGUCCGAUUCAAUGCCGCGUUCUGAACCCAUGUUAUGCAGAAUUUGGAAAUGCAGGAAUUUAAGCCGACGGACUUGAUGUGCGGUUUCGUGCAAAGGAACGUUGAGAACUGGUUUUGUCGGCUUUGCAGAGUUGUGCUUCGGUUGCAGCUUUGCAGUUUGAACAUGCCGUCGUCGUUCCACAUGCUGCCGGUUUUCGUAUACAUCCGGCUGUUGUUUGUGGCCGGCUGCUGCGGUUUUGGUUGCAGCGGGGUUAAUAAUUCGGUUGGUGAUUAAUGGCUUCGACACAAUCGUACUCUUAUAUUGAGCCACGAACUCCUGAAGCGGCAAUGGCUUAAGCUGGUAACCACCGUCGUAUCUUGCAUUCCGUCUGAACCAAGAAGCAGAAACAGCAUGGUGUUGUCCCUGUGGGAACAAUGGGAAACUCUAAUCCGAUGCGUUCCGAACCUGUCACAGCUUAGUUGCUCGCGUUGUAUUAUUGUCGUAUCUUAAAUAUAAAUAAUGUCACAGCUUAGUUGCUCGCGUUGUAUUAUUGUCGUAUCUUAAAUAUAAAUAAAAGUGGGAUUAUGGAUGUAGUUGUAGCUUUUGAAUUUUAAUAAGUAAUUUGCUUUUGAGUUGAA